AGAUUGAACGCUGGCGGCGUGCCUAACACAUGCAAGUCGAGCGGUAACAGGUGUAGCAAUACAUGCUGACGAGCGGCGAACGGGUGAGUAAUGCUUUGGAAUCUUCCCAGUAGUGGGGAAUAACCAGUCGAAAGAUUGGCUAAUACCGCAUACGUCUGUAAAGGGAAAGCGGGGGCUCGUAAGACCUCGCGCUAUUGGAUGAGCCAAAGUCGGAUUAGCUAGUUGGUGGGGUAAUGGCCUACCAAGGCGACAAUCCGUAGCUGGUCUGAGAGGACGACCAGCCACACCGGAACUGAGACACGGUCCGGACUCCUACGGGAGGCAGCAGUGGGGAAUAUUGGACAAUGGGGGAAACCCUGAUCCAGCGACGCCGCGUGUGUGAAGAAGGCCUGCGGGUUGUAAAGCACUUUUAGUGGGGACAAAAAAGCUACGGAUUAAUACUCUGUGGUCUUGAUUUAACCCAAAGAAAAGCACCGGCUAACUCUGUGCCAGCAGCCGC
rnacentral:rRNA from 1 species